CAGGUGCUAAUACCGGAUAAGAAAGCGGAUCGCAUGAUCAGCUUUUAAAAGGCGGCGUAAGCUGUCGCUAUGGGAUGGCCCCGCGGUGCAUUAGCUAGUUGGUAAGGUAAAGGCUUACCAAGGCGAUGAUGCAUAGCCGAGUUGAGAGACUGAUCGGCCACAUUGGGACUGAGACACGGCCCAAACUCCUACGGGAGGCAGCAGAA
rnacentral:rRNA from 1 species